rnacentral:rRNA from 1 species
AUGCCACGAACAACUCCACCGACGCCAAGAUGCAAGCUCAAUUGGAGGAGAUCAAAGCCCUCAUCAAGUCCUACAAGCGGUCUUCCUCAUGUUCGAGAAGACGCUCAAGAGCACAUGCCUCCGAGUUACCAUCUCCGGCAAGGUCACAUCGGCAUCGACAGUGAUGCGGAGCAUCCCACGUUCAUCCCCAUGUACACUACGACUACUCUCCAAGCCCUAAGAGAACAUAAGACGAGACCUCAUCUAUACCCCAUUGGACACAAGGUGAACUCGCUCCUCUUCGAACUAUCACUUUCCAUACGUGAGACAUGGCUACUACAUCAAACAUGUGUGCUAUGCAUGACCAGGAACCAAGAGGAAGACCAUGGACAAGAAGGCGAGGACACCAAGUGCGAGGAACGAGAAGAACAGCUACUGAAGAAGCUCCAGUCACCGAACGACCGGUCGGGACCAGACGUCCGAUGCCUGAAGACCCACCGGACGACCGGCCUGGACCAGACGACCGGCAAUCCCGCACCCGAGCCAAACGAGUGGACGUCUGACAAGUCCUAG